GGAAAGAAAAAAAAAACAAAUGCCCUCUUUUGCUCUGAUAGGGUUUAGUCCCUAGUGUCCUCGCGCCGCCUUUCGUCAGCCUCCUCACCAAAGCCCCGAUCGCGACGGAGAUGGUGGUGGCGCGGCAACCUCAGGUAAGUUUCCCUUUCUUUUUCUUUGUUAUUUUGCGAAAUAAUAAUGAAAAAAAAAAGAAACGUUUGUAAAUAAAAAUGGACACUGCGAAAUAAAUAAAAAAUCACCUUUGAAAAAACAAAUUCUAUAUCUGUAUUUUCUCUAUCCUUUUUCGUAUCUAUUUUCCUCUCCUCCCCUUUACAAAGUAAAAAUAUGACUUUAUAUAGCCCAAAACUAACUUCUUUUCCACUAUAUUUUUGCUGAUGGACUCUCUGAGUCCGUGUUUGCAGGCAUUCGUGGAGCGCACGUGGAGGAUCGGCCCCGAGACAUGCGGCGGUUGGAAGCUUUGCUGGAGGCGGGGAGGCUGCUAGGCAAACAUGCGGCUAGGGUUUUGUUUUUGGUUUUUAGUUUUGCUGUGUUGGACUAUUUUAAUUGGGCUUGUAUUUUAAAGAUUUGGGCUGUGCUUUAUUUUGUACUGGCCUGGGCCAGUUGGGCCUAUUACAAAAAAUAUUUGUUUUUUUAAAUAAAGCCACCAUGUGGUAUUUUGUGAUUGACAAUCCAAAAUUUUUUAACGUCUAUAAAAUAAAGGA
rnacentral:lncRNA from 1 species